rnacentral:rRNA from 1 species
UACGUAGGGUGCAAGCGUUAAUCGGAAUUACUGGGCGUAAAGCGUGCGCAGGCGGUUAUGCAAGACAGAUGUGAAAUCCCCGGGCUUAACCUGGGAACCGCAUUUGUGACUGCAUAGCUGGAGUACGGCAGAGGGGGAUGGAAUUCCGCGUGUAGCAGUGAAAUGCGUAGAUAUCGGAAGGAACACCAGUGGCGAAAGCGGCUUCCUGGUCCAGCACCGACGUCAGGCACGAAAGCGUGGGGAGCAAACAGG